UACAGGGGUCGCGAGCGUUAAUCGGAUUUACUGGGCGUAAAGCGUGUGUAGGUGGUUGAGUAAGUCGGUUGUGAAAUCCCUGGGCUCAACCUGGGAACUGCUUCCGAGACUGUGCGACUAGAGAUCGGUAGAGGGCGGUGGAAUUUCCGGUGUAGCGGUGAAAUGCGUAGAUAUCGGAAGGAACACCAAUGGCGAAGGCAGCCGCCUGGGCCUGAUCUGACACUGAGACGCGAAAGCGUGGGGAUCAAACAGG
rnacentral:rRNA from 1 species